CACUUCUAAGGAAGGCAGCAGGCGCGCAAAUUACCCAAUCCUGACUCAGGGAGGUAGUGACAAGAAAUAACAAUAAACCGGCUUAUGCCGGUUUAAUUGGAAUGAGUACAAUUUAAACAUCUUAACGAGGAACAAUUGGAGGGCAAGUCUGGUGCCAGCAGCCGCGGUAAUUCCAGCUCCAAUAGCGUAUACUAAAGUUGUUGCAGUUAAAAAGCUCGUAGUUGGAUUUCUGUGGGGACGGAGCGGCCGGCCGCAACUCGCGGUUCGAGCUAGCGCUUUCCCUACAUCCUGCCGCGAACCGUGCUACCAUUAGUUUGGUGGCGCCGGGGAUCGGCUCGAUUACUUUGAGAAAAAUAGAGUGUUCAAAGCAGGCCACAUGCCUUGAAUAAGUUAGCAUGGAAUAAUAACUAAGGACUUCGGUUCUAUUUUGUUGGUGUUCGGGACUGAAGUAAUGAUUGAUAGGGACAGUUGGGGCGGUCUGUAUUCCAAAGCGAGAGGUGAAAUUCUUAGACCUUCGGAAGACAAACAGCUGCGAAAGCGUUCCGCAAGGAUGUUCCCUUUGAUCAAGAACGAAAGUUGGGGGAUCGAAGACGAUCAGAUACCGUCGUAGUCUCAACUAUAAACUAUACCAGCUAGGGAUCGGCCAACGUUAUUUAAACCGACUUGGUCGGCACCUUAUGAGAAAUCAAAGCAUCUGGGUUCCGGGGGGAGUAUGGUCGCAAGGCUGAAACUUAAAGGAAUUGACGGAAGGGCACCACCAGCCGUGGAGCCUGUGGCUUAAUUUGACUCAACACGGGAAAACUUACCAGGUCCAGACAUAGUAAGGAUUGACAGAUUGAUAGCUCUUUCUUGAUUCUGUGGGUGGUGGUGCAUGGCCGUUCUUAGUUGGUGGAGUGAUUUGUCUGGUUAAUUCCGUUAACGAACGAGACCCCAGCCUGCUAAAUAGCGCGUGUGAGCUUUGCUCGCAGCGAGCUUCUUAGAGGGACUAUGAUGCGCGAUAGCACAUGGAAGUUUGGGGCAAUAACAGGUCUGUGAUGCCCUUAGAUGUUCUGGGCCGCACACGGGCUACACUGGCGCCUGCAACGAGCAUAUCAGCUGGCCCGAGAGGGUCUUGGCUAAUCUUUUGAACCGGCGCCGUGCUUGGGAUUGACCUUUGCAAUUGUUGGUCAUGCAACGAGGAAUGCCUUGUAAACGCGAGUCAUCAGCUCGCAUUGAAUACGUCCCUGCCCUUUGUACACACCGCCCGUCGCUCCUACCGAUGAAUGUUCCGAUGAAAUUUCCGGAGAGUGCCUGUGAACUUGGCUCUGCCUUGCGAACGGGAAGCUCAAAGUCACUUAAAUCUGAACAUUUCGAGG
rnacentral:rRNA from 1 species